GAUGAACGCUGGGGGUCUGCUUUACACAUGCAAGUCGAACGGACUCUUCGGAGUUUGUGGGGGACGGGUGAGUAACGCGUGAGAAUCUGCCUUCUGGUCUGGGACAACAGAGGGAAACUUCUGCUAAUCCCGGAUAAGCCUACGGGUGAAAGAUUUAUUGCCUGGAGAUGAGCUCGCGUCUGAUUUGCUAGUUGGUAAGGUAAAAGCUUUCCAAGGGGACGAUCAGUAGCUGGUCUGAGAGGAUGAGCAGCCACACUGGGACUGAGACACGGGCCAGACUCCUACGGGAGGGAGCAGUGGGGAAUUUUCCGCAAUGGGGGAAAGCCUGACGGAGCAAGACCGCGUGGGGGAGGAAGGGUCUAGGGUUGUAAACCCCUUUUCUUUGGGAAGAAGUACUGACGGUACCAAAGGAAUCAGCCUCGGGUAACUCCGUGCCAGCAGCCGCGGUAAUACGGAGGAGGGAAGCGUUUUCCGGAAUGAUUGGGGGUAAAGCGUCCGCAGUGGGCAUGUAAGUCUGCUGUCAAAACCCAGGGGUUUACUCUGGUUUGGGAGUGGAAACUACAAAGCUAGAGUCUGGUAGGGGGCAAGGGAAUUCCCGGUGUAGCGGUGAAAUGCGUAGAGAUCGGGAAGAACAUCGGUGGGGAAAGCGCUUGGGUAGACCAGAACUGACACUCAGGGACGAAAGCUAGGGAGCGAAUGGGAUUUGAUACCCCAGUAGUCCUAGCUGUAAACGAUGAUACUAGGUGUUGCCUGUAUCGACCCGGGAGUGCCGUAGCUAACGCGUUUAGUAUCCCGCCUGGGGAGUACGCACGCAAGUGUGAAACUCAAAGGAAUUGACGGGGGCGCACAAGCGGUGGAGUAUGUGGUUUUAUUCGAUGUAACGCGAAGAACCUUUCCAGGGGUUGACAUGUCGCGAAUCUAGGGGAAACCUUGGAGUGCUUCGGGAGCGCGAACACAGGUGGUGCAUGGGUGUCGUCAGCUCGUGUCGUGAGAUGUUGGGUUUAGUCCCGCAACGAGCGCAACCGUCUUUUGUUGCCAGCAUUUAGUUGGGGACUCUGAAGAGACUGCCGGUGACAAACCGGAGGAAGGUGGGGAUGACGUCAAGUCAGCAUGCCCCUUUCGCCCUGGGGUACACACGUACUACAAUGGUCUGGACAGAGGGUAGCCAACCCGCGAGGGUGAGCCAAUCCCUAAAACCAGGGCUCAGUUCAGAUUGCAGGGUGCAACUCGCCUGCAUGAAGUCGGAAUCGCUAGUAAUCGCAGGUCAGCAUACUGCGGUGAAUCCGUUCCCGGGGCUUGUACACACCGCCCGUCACACCAUGGAAGUUGGGCACGCCCGAAGUCAUUUCUCUAACCCGUAAGGGAGGGGGAUGCCGAAGGGAGGGGUGAUGACUGGGGUGAAGUCGUAACAAGGUAGCCGUACCGGAAGG
rnacentral:rRNA from 1 species